AUGCAAAAUUAGAAGGAAAGAGUUCUGAUUUCUAGGUUAGGAAAUUAUCUAUAAUCUAAAGGGCGUGGACUGUUCACUGGAGUCGCACUGUUCAUUCGAGUCCGAAUUAAAUGACGCUUUUGCCCUUAAUUUUUUCUUAAGUUACAUCCCUCCCAUUCAGUCUGUUAUAAAUACCCGCCGACGAUUUUGCCCUUCCUUUCUAAUCAAAUUACACCCAUUUGCCCUGCCCUGCUGAUCUGCUGAGAGAUAGAAAGAAGAUUGCGAGAGAGAAAUAUAACAGAGUUCUUCUGGGUCUUCUGCGAGAGAGAGAGAGAGAGAGAGAGUGAAGGCUGAUCCGAGAGAGAUGAAGAACAUAAGACGGGAAGAGGAAGAACUAUUCGAUACACCAAGUUGUGGAGAAUAGGCCUGAUGCAAAGUCCUAUGUAGGUAUGGAGUGAGUAGAUAUCCUACAUUGAAAUUUUUUUCCAAAGGGCAACAAGGAUGGUGAAGUGUAUGGUGGAGGCUGAGAUUUGGAAUAUUUUGUAAAUUUCAUCAGUGAGAAAUGUAGGACUAGCACAGAUGCGAAAGGGCAACUUACUUCCAUAGUUAGUACCAUUUUAAACCAAUAAACGUAACUCAUUAGUUUCCUUAUCGAUUAUCUUCUUUUAUGUAGGCUGAAAUAGUCUCAAGUUUGGAGUUUGUUAUGUAAAACCAUAACAUAUUCGGUUAAUAUUUCUUAGAUUAUGAUUACAACUAUAUUGCAUAUAAAAUUAAUGAAAGAAAAAACACAAACCCGCAGCAUCGCGCGGGCGAGCUGUCUAGUGUUCUACUAAUUCAGAACUAGUCACUAGUUAAUUUGUGGGAGCUUUAGACAUACCUUUGCAUCUGCGCUGAAUCCUUUCAUGAACUUUAUUUGUACAUAUCCGUUAACUGCAAUGAGAGGAAGCAGUGCGAGGAUAAUAAAUGCCAGCUGCCAACAUGCAAUAUAAGCAAUGACCAAACCUGCAACUGCAGCUGCCAUGUUUUGAACCAUCUGAGCUAGAGCGUCUCCGACUAGGGCCCUCACCGACGCUGCAUCUGCUGAGAGCCUUGCACCAAUUGCACCACUUGAGUUCUCAGGCUCAUCAAACCACCCAACCUCCAUGUGAACCACUCUCUCAAAACACAAUAAUCUGAUACGCUGAAUUAACUUGCUGCCAGCUACUGAAAAGAAAUAUCCUUGUGCUGGGAUCGCCAAGAAUGAUAUCAGACCAAGGAUCAUAAAAAUUAUUGCCCAAAAUGCUGCAUCUUUCUUCUGUUGAUGAGGUGGUUCAUAGAAAGUCUUUAUAACCCUGGAAAUGAGCACACCGAAUAUUGGAAGUAUAACACCAUUGAUGAUUGCAGCUAUAGUUCCAAUAAUAAGAACUGGAAUCUCAGGUUUGUUCAGGGCAGCAAUGCGGCGGAGUGAGACCUUUGGAGGUUGCUCUGGUGCUAGUUCUGUUUCUUCAUAUGCAGCAUCUUGGACACCAAUGCCUCCAAGUCCAGUGGGUAAACCAAAUGCCACUGAAUAUGAGUGACGGCUGCUAUUUCCUACGGAGGAAUUUCUACUUAAGGAUCGUGCAAACGAAAGUCUUUGACUCGAUGUUCUUUGACUUGACUGUCUAAGAGAUGCCAGAGUUAUUUCAGGAGAAGAAGGCUAUAGCUAGGACAUGGGAUCAAAUAGUUCUUUGGGAUCCGGAAGCAAUCCAAAUAUCUGGACUUGAUCAAGAAGUACAAUAAUUAAUGCACGGAGAGUUUGUAAGUAUGUUUCAGUUGGAAAAGCAAUGCAUGAUAGUACAAGAAUAGAAUAUCUGAGUUGAUGUGCAGAAAUCAUGAUUAUCCCCAUCUCUAAUUAAUUUGUGAGAAACAUAUGGCUCUCUGCAAUGUAAGCUUUAUUAAGUAGAAUACCUUUUUCAACCAUCUUUC